rnacentral:rRNA from 1 species
UAGGUCGCUUGCGCGGUACCCGUACGUCUGCACGUCGAGCGCCCCGAGUUGGAACUUGCUCCUUUGACGUUAGCGGCGGACGGCUGAGUAUCUGCUGGGCAACCUACCUUAUAGUUUGGGAUAACUCCGGGAAACCGGGGCUAAUACCAAAAAUUCUGUUUCACCUCAUGGUGAAAUAUUGAAAGACGGUUUCGGCUGUCACUAUAUGAUGGGCCCGCGGCGCAUUACUGGUUGGUGAGGUAACGGCUCACCCUGGCGACGAUGCGUAGCCGACCUGACAGGGUGAUCGGCCACACUGGGACUGAGACACGGCCCAGACUCCUACGGGAGGCAGCGCUACGGAAUCUUCCACAAUGGGCGAAAGCCUGAUGGAGCAACGCCGCGUGAGUGAAGAAGGAUUUCCGGUUCGUAAAACUCUGUUGUAAGGGAAGAACAAGUACAGUAUUAACUGGCUGUACCUUGACGGUACCUUAUUAAAAGGCCACGGCUAACUACUUGCCAGCAUCCGCGGUCAUACGUAAGUGGCAAGCGCUCUCCCGAAUUACUGCCUUUAAACUGCGCGCAGGUGAGUUUCUUAAGUCUGAUGUGAAAUUCCACGUGUCAACCUUGGAUGGUCAUUGGAAACUAGGAGACUUGAGUGCAAAAGAGGAUAGUGGAAUUCCAAGUGUAGCUGAGAAAUGCAUACAGAUUUGGAAGAACCGCUUUGACCCCGGCGUAUAUCUGGCCUGUAACUUACACUGAUAGCC